UGAGCAACGACCCUAGCCAAUGAUUAGUCCAUUAUUCAUAUAGAAUUAACAUUGUCGAAAAAAGAAACAAGCGUAGAACGUGUAAGAGCAUUCCGUGAAAGACAGCCUGCCCAAAAACAUCCCAAAAAAACCCAAGAAAGUACCCUACAGCGUUUAAAGGGAUUUCAAGAGCGCCAAAAGACGUUGAAAAA